GGAUUUAUUGGGCGUAAAGAGUCUGUAGGUGGUAGAGUAAGUUGUAAAUUAAACUUCAUCGGCUUAACCUUUGAACUGUUUACAAUACUGCUAUACUAAGAGGGCGUUAGAGGCAAACGGAACCGAUGGAGUAGGGGUGAAAUCCGUUGAUAUCAUCGGGAACACCAAAAGCGAAGGCAGUUUGCUGGGACGACCCUGACACUGAGAGACGAAAGCGUGGGGAGCAAAAAGGAUUAGAUACGGCCAUUGCUUUGCAAUGGGAAUUUGAAAUUUACAAUUUGAAAUUUGAAAUCAAUUUGAAAUGAUUCAAUGUUUCAAUUUGAAAACGUGGAAUUUCCAUUGCAGGGCGAUGGUGUCUGUGUCUCACGCGUUUGGCAUGGUGCCAGACAGUGUAAAAAUUUAGCUAUAUGCUGGAAACUCCGAGUAUCCGACACUACCCCGAUUGUUUCGUGGGUAAAAAUGUGUUCGGUGCGGACAAUCAGCAGGGAAGAUCAAAAAAAGGAGACCGUGAUGAAUAAAGUCAGUUGUAACUUUUGUGGUAAUGCGAAGAAAUAUGCACUAGAGGAAUUGACGUCCAGAACACAUCUGGGUCGAAAAGUUCUCCAGUGUCCUAUUUGCAGAACGCACCUCUUCAUCGAAGAAGGGGGUGAACUCCGCAAAACAAGCAUGACUACCCUUGAAUCAAAGGAUGAUACAAGAUCAUUUGAAUGAUCCCCUCAGAGACUACACGCUAGACAAUUAAACAGAAUGGGCGAAAGGCAUUCGCCAAGUAGCCCACAUUUUUUAAUUGAUGAUAUAGUCCGGACUGCAUAGCGAUAUGCAGAGUUAACCAGAAAUGAGUUAACCAUGCACAACGAGUUUGAGUAAUUUCAAAUUGAAUUAUUGAAACAUUGAUUUCAAAUUUCAAAUUGUAAAUUUCAAAUUCAUUGUUGCAUAGCAACAAUGCGACCCUUGUAGUCCACGCUGUAAACGAUGGAUACUGGAUAUUGGCAGUGUCGACCCUGCCAGUGUCGAAGCUAACGCGUUAAGUAUCCCGCC
rnacentral:ncRNA from 1 species